ensembl:lncRNA
CUCCACACAGUGUUGUCCUCUUUAAGCUCAUUCUCUGUGAUGAGUGAUAGGAACCUGUGGAGACACUUACGGCAUUAGAAAGCCAGCAUAUUAGCAGUAGCUGCUCAUUAAGAACAGCUAGUAACGCUCAGACAUCCAAGGAAGAUUUGAACCAUCUUUGGUUUUUAAACCUCUGGUGGAAACUACGAAUGGCAGGAAAAACAUCAUCACAGCGCAGGAAGCUGCUUCAUUUACAUAGCAAAAAGCACUAAGGAAAACUUACCUUGACUGUGCUGGAGAAAAACUGGAGUCUGCGUCAUCCUCGUCAAAAAGAACGCCGUUGAAGCGUCAACAUUAAACUGUAAGAAGAAAACGCCUUUCAGUUAAUAGUUCAAGGCCACAGCGACCAGAAUAACUGGAUCUCAAAAGAGUUAAACCAGUACAAUUAUUAUUAUUAUUAUUAUUAUUAUUCUUCAUUAGCUUUUACACUAGUACAUCCAAAGAUCUACAGAUCUGUGCAUCCACAAAAAGGGCCAAAAGCUUCACACCUUUAGCCUUUACGAUCUUGUUUCACUUCAUUUAUAAAUACUUUAGAUUAGACGUAAAAUUUUACCAUGACUUAGUAGUUUUUAUAAAUUUAGUAAGCGUGUGUGGAUACAAUAUAUUUUCUUUUAAAGUAGUGAACAAAAUCAAAAUAGAGUGCCUAUUUGAUUUUAUUCAAGUGGGCAUUUUAACUUGGAUACCAACAAUUUGUAACUUUGCUAUGAAAACUAAAUUUUAUUCUUAUUAGUCUUAAAUAAGUAACUGAUUACACCUCUGAUUGUGGCAGCCAUUUUUGAAUUACAUCACGUAAAUUUUCAAAACCCUGAAAUGCCUGGUUAAUGUUUAAACGGUUUCCUUUAACAUAGGUGUGCAAUUCCACUUUUGGACUUUUUAUAGUUGAGGGUUUUGUUUUUUGUUUUUUAAAUUAUUUUAUUUUUCAUGCAUUUUUAGUAAGUAACCCAUUCAUUAACUGUAUAGCUAAAGUAACUGAGCUGUAUGCUGUUUCACCAUAUCUGAUACCAAAGGUCCAUUUCCCUGAUUAUAAUUUGUGCAACACCCCCACCACGUGUUCAGCUGAUGGAAAUUUCUGGAUACUUGUUGCUUGUCAUUUUAAAUAAUGGACGAGUUAAAAAAGAAAAACAAUAAUAAAAUCGUAAAAAAAAUAAAUAAAACAAUUGAGCUAUUAUUUACAUGCCUAUUGAUAAAACCUAUAAUUGUUACAUCUUCAGUCACAUUUUAGACCCUGUUCAUGCCACCACAUGGUUUUAAUUUAGAUAUCACUUGUAUGUAUGACCAAUGCAGCCGUGUAACUGUAACUGAACUGUAAUUAACUUUAAAUAAACUCUACAGACGUGAUGUUACCAGAAAACCACGUGACAAGUUUACAACGACUCCAACACAAUCUGCCGCCAUCCGUGAAAUAAACGCCUCAUCGCUGGAAAAUAUCGGCACGUGACAUCUCAACACACAGUAAUUAAUAAAUACAACGUUAGAUUUAUUAAAUAAAGUGAAGAUUAAACGCAUAUUUACCCAGACACAGACCAGCUCCACUCUCUUUGACUGCAGGUUCAAAUGACGGAACACCGAGCUCCUCAUCCUUUUAUCUACAGGCGGCGACUGAACGGCUUAAUUCAGCUUUACCGCCACCUGUUGGAUCGGAGGCUGAACUGACACACUACCCUGUUGAUGAGUGUGCAGGAAAAUCCCAGAUCAGCCAUUUCUGAAAUACUCAGACCAGUCUCUGAUGUUCAGCUUGAACUUCAACAGGUUAUCUUGUCCAUGUGAUUGGCUGAUCAAAUAUUUGCAUUAAGGCAGAAACCUAUAUCAUGAACCAGAGAGCAGUAAACACAUACAAACACAUAAUAAUUAGAAUAUAUGAUUAAUAAAUAAA